rnacentral:rRNA from 1 species
CUACGGGAGGCAGCAGUAGGGAAUUUUCGGCAAUGGGCGCAAGCCUGACCGAGCAACGCCGCGUGAGUGAUUAAGGCCUUCGGGUUGUAAAGCUCUGUUGUAAAGGAAGAACGAUCAGUAUAGGAGAUGAUACUGAUGUGACGGUACUUUACCAGAAAGCCACGGCUAACUACGUGCCAGCAGCCGCGGUAAUACGUAGGUGGCAAGCGGUAUCCGGAAUUAUUGGGCGUAAAGGGAGCGUAGGCGGUUUAUUAAGUCUAUGGUGAAAGUGCGGGGCUCAACCCCGUAUGGCCAUAGAAACUGAUAGACUAGAGUGCAGAAGAGGGUAGUGGAAUUCCAUGUGUAGCGGUAAUAUGCGUAGAUAUAUGGAGGAACACCGGUGGCGAAGGCGGCUACCUGGUCUGUCACUGACGCUGAGGCUCGAAAGCGUGGGGAGCAAAUAGGAUUAGAUACCCGCGUAGUC